AUCCUUAAGCUUCACACAAACAUAUUGGCGUUGUUAUUUAUUCUCUUUUUUUUCUCAUUAUUAUUUAUUUAUUUAUUUUUUUUUAGUUCGUGAUGUAACGGAAAUAAAUAAAAAUAAAAACAUAAAAAUAUUGAUUUGUUAUUAAUAAAAAUAGUGAGUUUACAAACUUGUGAAUUAUUCAAAGUGUAUUGAUUAAUAAUAUUAUUAUAUUUAUUAAUAAUUAUUUAACAAAAAUAUACAUUGUGUUUUUAAAAAUGACAACUGGACAAGAUCACUCAUUGACAAUACGUCAAGAAAUUCAACGUUUCGAAAGUGUACAUCCAUCAAUAUACGCAAUUUAUGAUUUAAUUGAUUUAAUAUCUGAUACAAAUAUAUCAAAACAAAUAAGAGAACAUGUUGUCGCCAUUGAAGAUUCAUUUGUAAAUAGUCAUGAAUGGACGUUAUCAAGAAAUGUACCAGAAUUACAUAUUGGUAUAAUUGGUUCAUGUGAUUCUGGUAAAUCAGCAUUGGUACAUAGAUAUUUAACUGGUUCAUUUAUGCAUGAAGAAUCACCAGAAGGUGGUAGAUUUAAAAAAGAAGUAUUUAUCAAUGAACAAAGUUAUUUAUUGUUAAUCAGAGAUGAGGGUGGUGUACCAGAACAACAGUUUACAUCAUGGAUCGAUGCAGUAUUGAUGGUUUUUUCGCUUGAAAAUGAAGAAAGUUUUUCAGUACUUUGUAAUUAUUACAAUAAAAUGUGUUUAUUUAGAAAUAUGUCUGAUGUGCCAAAAAUACUUGUUGGUGUUCAAGAUUCAAUAAAUGAUACAAAUCCUCGUGUUAUUAAAGACAUUCGUCCUCGUAAAUUAUCACUUGAUUUACGAUGUCCGUACUAUGAAACUUGUGCAAUAUACGGUUUAAAUGUUGAUCGUGUAUUUCAAGAUGUAUGUCAAAAAAUUAUUCAAAAAACAAAGCUAUGUUUAAAUGGUCAGCCUGAAAAAUUAGUUGAAACAAGAUAUUCAACAUUACCAGUUAUAACAAAAACUGGAAAUUUACAUUUAGCCAAAGAACAGGAUAAUCAUUCAAAAAUAAUACAACAUACUGAUAAAAAUGAUGAUUUUAUACGUUCAAAUAAUCAUGAUGAACCAACAUCAAAUGAUACAUCAUUUCAGUAUAUACAAAAUCCUCAAAAUGAACUUCGUGCAUCAAUAUUAACACCAACAACAAGUAGAAAAUUUCGUAGAAAGUCAAAUAUAUUUACACCAUCAAAAAAAGAAAAAUAUAAUAUGGGAGAAAUGGGAGUAGGAAGAGAAAUACCAGUUAAACAAGGUUAUUUAUUUAAACGUAGUAGUAAAUCAUUAAAAGAAAGAAAAAAAAAAUAUGUUACAUUAUUAGAAGAUGGUAGAUUAACAUAUCAUUCAAGUCUUCAUGAUUAUAUGAAUGAUACAAAUGGUAAAGAAAUACUUCUUCAAUAUGUUACUGUUAAAAUACCAGGUAAAACACCAAAAGGUUCAAAACCAACAAUAACAAAUGAUGAUAAUUUUGAAUUUUCAAUAAUAUCAUUAGAAAAUAAAAGUUGGAAUUUUGAAGCUAAUAAUUUAGAUGAUCGUGAUACAUGGAUAUCAGCAAUUGAACAACAAAUAUUAACAAGUUUACAAAAUAGUGAUGGUGGUGAUAAAAAAAAUGAAACAGAUGCAUUUAAAAUGCAUUGUAUUAAAAAUAAAGUAUGUGGUAAUGAUUUAUGUGCUGAUUGUGGUUCACCAAAUCCUGAUUGGGCUAGUUUAAAUAUUGGUAUAUUAGUUUGUAUUGAAUGUUCUGGUAUACAUAGAAAUUUAGGUUCUCAUAUAUCUAAAAUAAGAUCAUUAGAUUUGGAUGAUUGGUCAGCUGGACAAUUAAGUGUUAUGUUGGCAAUGGGUAAUGAUAUUGCAAAUGGUAUAUGGGAAUAUGAACUUAAUGGAAAAAUUAAACCAACAUCUGAAUCACUUAGAGAAAAAAAAGAAGAAUGGAUUAGAUGGAAAUAUGAAGACAGAGCAUUUCUACCACCAGCUAAUAGUAGUAUACCUAUUGGAAAAUUACUCAUUGAUUCUGUUUGUCGUGGUGAUAUGAGAGCUUUUACACUUUGUCUAGCAAGAUGUACAUAUGAAGAUAUUAAUAUUUCAGUAAGCAAUGAUGAUUUAAGAACACCAUUACAUCUAGCCUGUGCAACUGGUAAUCUAGCAAUGGCUCAACUACUAAUUUGGCACAAAGCAAAUCCACAAAAUCUUGAUCAUGAAGGACGUACUUGUAUGUCGUAUGUCAAGGCAUUGGAAAGAACACUUGACAAUACUGCUGAUUCAUUGGAGAUGAAAAAACUUAUUGAAGUUCUUGAACAAGCAAGUCUCAAAAGUAUGGAUGACAAUGAUACAACAAAUGCAUCAACAACACAACAUCAACAACAACAUCAACACAGUAUUAAUAAAUUAGUUUAGAUAAACAAAAAACAAAACAACAUGGUGUACUUAUUAGAUAACAGGUAAGCAAAGAAGAAUUAUCAUUAAAUUCAUCAUCAACAAAAUGGCUAAUAAAGAUAUAGCUUGUAAAUUUACACCAACAUCAGUUAUUCAAAAAUUGAUACAUGGACAGGAAAAUGAGUCAAUGACAGGAUUUAUACAGUUAAAACAUUGUGUAACAGUUAACUAUUAUCAUUAUCAUCUUGGUUAUCAAGCCGAUAAACUCCCUGGUGAAAAUAAUUUCUCCGUAAAACUCCGUAAAAUUCCGGAAAACUCCGUAUCACUCCGGAAUUGGCCCAUUAAAAUUUUUCGGUCAUUUUUUUUCCUUCUCUUUACACAGGAAUUCGAGUAUUUUGGAAUUGCAACCGAUUUUUCGUAUUUUUUCGAAUUUUUUCUAAGUGAGCCAAUUCCGGAAUAAUCCGGAGUAAUCCGGAGAAACUCCGGAGAAAUUCCGGAGAAACUCCCGAGAAAUAUUUCCACCAGGGCUUACUAUACAAGUAUCAAAUAACACAAAAGGAGGACUUUUUCGUAUAACAUUUUUUGGAAAAAACGCUUGGAAAUGGUCAAAAAUAUUAGACACUAAUAUGAUGGAAAAGUUCAAGUUGUAUACCUGGAUGAAAUGGAAUCUCCUCCUGCCUCUCCUGACCGGGCUUCUCCACCUCCUCCUCCUUCCUGUCCACCUCCGUCUCUUCAUCAGGAUCCACCUGAAGUUAUAAUCCUGGAUGAAAUGGAAUCUCCUCGCCAGGCUUCUCCACCUCUUUCUCCCUCACUUGGUAUGAUUGAUGUACGUAUUUGUGACGUUGUCAAUUACUUGAAUAAAAACCAGCUAGAAAUCAAAGACGAUAUUCUUGACGAAUUAAAAAAGAAUAACAAAGUUCUUUUAGAGAUUUAAAAAAAAGUAACAGUUGAACCAUUACCAUCAUCAUCACCAACUAUACCAUCAUCAUCACCAACUUUACCAUCAACAUCAUCAUCAACAUCAUCAUCAACAUCAUCAUCAUCAUCAUCAUCAUCAUCAACUAUACGACCAAAAUUUACUGGUAAUAAAUGUGGAAAAUCUUAUUCGAAUCGUUGGAAUCUGGAGCGGCAUCAAAAAACGGCUCGAAUUUGCAGUGCAGCAUCAACAACAGUUCAAUGUGAACACUGUGCAAUAAGUGUAUCACGAUUUGACUUGCUAAAAAGACAUUAUAUAAUAGCAGUUGCAAAAAAAGACACAUUUAACUGAUGCUGCUGAACACCAUGGAAAACAAAAUAAUUCACAUACAACAUUCAUUAAACAAACAACAACAAUAUCCAUUAACUUUUUUUAAUUUACGUUUUUUUUUAACAAUUAUUAAUUCUAAUAUGUGUGUUUCCAUAAAUACUAAUAUAUAAACAAGAUAUUGGUGAUGAAACAAAAGAAAAAAUUAUAUUACUAAAAGCAACAUCAUGGCGUUAUAGAACUGGUCAAUAUCAUCGUAAUUAUAAAUUACAUAAUUUAGGAUAUGAUAAACUUGAAAUAUCCCUGGUAAAAU